AUUAGCAGCGCCGCAUGUUUAGGGACUGCUAUGGAUGCACUUUGGUCACAGUGAGGAGGCAGGGAUUUGGGGUUUAAGCCCCCAUCUGGGCAGGAGCCGUCUGCUUUCACUGGCUGUGAACCCCGGGACCAGCACUUGAAAGUGUCUCAGACCCGCAGUCCAUUUUUUACUUGUCUUUAAGUGCAUGCGAUGGGAAUUGCUAACCUCGGCUAAGGAAAUUUCAUUUCCCCCAUCCUGCUAAACGGUUCUGGUCGACAUAUGUUUGUUAUCAGAGAGAAGUGCUAUGAACACAGAGCCAUUUUCUUAGCAGCUCUUUGACUCUGCGUUACCAUAGUCCCACACGGCAUUGGUCCUUUCCCUUUGGGAAGUCAUGAAUAAGAGACUAUGAAGCUUGCACGUCAGAUCUUCCUCAAUUAAUCCACCAUUAGCAUGUUUGGGAUCCUCUACUGGAUGGUUAACAGCAGCUUUGGUAACUGUAUGCUGUCCAUACCCAAUUAUGCUCUGCUAAAAAUGAACUCUGCAGAACAACCUUCCUGAGCUGUCAGUGUCUCCCGUUUUCCUAUUUUAACGCUUGUGUGUAGUGGCAGGCGACAGAUGGUGUAGAUCAGAUCGAUUUGAUUGCAUUAGGCGAUUUUUUUCCCUCCUCUCCCCCCCGACUCCUUUUCUGGAAGCCCACAUUCAGCUGAGAGGCGACCGCCGGGGACACGGGAAGCGAGAGCAGCCGCCGAGGUGCGAAAGCAGCGAGCCGCGGCCGUGGAGGCGCCGGGUCCUGCCCGGGUGGAUCCGUGCUAAUCCGGCGCCGGGAGGGAGCAGCUUCUGCCGCCCGGAGCCCGUCCCCAGCGCACGUCAGAUGACUCCCUGGUUUUACACACGGUUGGAGUUCUGCUCGAAACCUGGAUUUAAAGGGAAUCUGUUGCCGUGUGUGACAUCUCUUGCGAGCUCCCAGAGAGAACUGAUGGAGCAUACAGCUAGGGAAUAGGAUGCUGGAGAAGCUCAGGGGGAGACGCCAGGCAAUUACCAGGACGGGGAGGAACGGUGCUCGUUGGAUAUGGAACGAGAUCUCGCAGCCCUUGUGGAUUCUCCUUCUUCAAGAGGGGAAUUAUAGUUAUGGAUUUAUUGUCCCGGUGCAGCACUUCCACCAGCGGCAGCAGCAGCAGCUUUCUGACUCUCUUCGGUGACGGGUAUUCUUGGGUGGAUAAUACGGAUUACGUUGUUAUUGCUUAAGAAUACGCGUAGUCGAGGAGAGUACCGGCGGCGGGCAGGCAGGCAGGCAGCGCGACCGCCCCCAGCCCUCCAGCUGGCUCCUACAGCCUCUAGUUGCCAAGGUAGCACCUUUUCCAUCUUUUCCUUCGCUUCGCAGUGUGUCGCUCUGUCUGUGUCUCUACCCGGGCGGGGGUGGCUCGGCCGGCCCGUCCCCGCGGAGGGGCUGCCCUCUGGAUGCGUGUGUGCGUGGAGCGGGCACGGGGUUAGGGCAAAGUGCGGGGCCGGGGCUACGGGAGGGGCCUGCGGAGCUGAGACCGGUUCUCCCCUGCCCGGGCUCGCUCGGCCUCCAGCCCGCUGCCGUUUGCCCCUCUCCGCCGGGGGGGAGCAGGGAGGAAAUGGGGGACUCGAGCCCGCCGGCCCACCUGCAGCAGGGUCCCACCCCCGAGAUGCGGGUUGCCCGAGGGGCAGCGGCUUCGCCCGCAGCCGGCGGUACCCGGGACUGGAAUGCUCCUCUCCUCUGUCGAGCUCAGAGUACGGCCCCGUGACCACUGCGGCCAGAAAGGCUGGGAGCCGGCAAGCAGCAGGCUGGUGAGGCGGGCGCACCCCGCACCCUGCCCCUGUGCCUCGGCUGCAGAGGGCACCAACUGCCUGGCAAGGAUGCUUUGGGACAACCAGUUGUGGCUGAUCACUUCCAGGGGGUAAGAGAACCCUUGCCCCAUGGUAAUGGCCUUGUAGGGCAGAAUUUGGCUGCUCACUCUUGAGUCCCUGAGGUGCUGGGCUAGAAUGCAUGCCCACAACCAGGACUGAAGCGUUGGUUCCCCACUGGUGUUCAGGCCAUGGCUUCCUUGUCCCCACUGAAGGGCUCAGGGCUCCCCAGAGGUAGAUGCAGGUGAGAGACAUAAGCAAGAGGCUGUUCAUUACCAUUACCAUCCCAACCAUGCCUCAUUUAUUUAAUGUAGGAUGGAUAUUUCCAUCCCUCUUGCCAACCAGAGCAGCAGGGCAUGGGCUCUGGUUAAAAGCCCAGACAGCCUUUUGGAUGCUGUGCUUAGAAAAACACAAGCAUAGCAUUUUUUCCCACUCCUGUACCCUCAAGUCUGCUAAAUAUGGAGUAGGAGUGAUGGCUCCUGCUUUUCCCUUUUCAGAGACCUCUCUGCACACCUUGUGAUCCCAGGUCUCAUUGCCACAUAAUGGCAAGUGGGAGACCAGAUUCCAGGCUUAAAUGAAUUAGAUCAGAAGCCAUUUUAAGGCAGGACUGAGGUCACUGUGAUGAGCUAGCCUUUUUGAAUGGCUUCUUCCCUAGGCUCAGCGUGAAGAGGUUGAGAAUGAUUUUUAAUGUGGGCAAACUAGAUGUAGGGGGAUUGCUCUGUUGUGAGUGUAAGGCGGCAACAUGGAGAAUGUCUUCCUCUGUCUCUUGCUUAGCAAUUGAAAGGCCAUAUAUAUUCUGCUUAAUUAUUUCAAGCAACUGCCAAAGGAUUCUUACUCUGCUGCCUUCAGUAGCGACUGGAGCUCUCGUUGUUACGCAGACAUGGAUCUGUUAUUCUAUAGACACAUCUUUGAUGCUAGCACUCUGAUCCUCGUGUUUCUCUAAUACUACUUGAAAGCAGAUUUUUUCUUGUAGUUUAGUAUGUUCAACAGCCUCAGAAAUAACGUUAAAUUAUGCUUUAAAGACACGAUCAGCUGCUAAAUCAUAGUCAGUUCAGCACCGUAACGCAUCCACAUUCACAAGUGCUGCAGGAACGGCGAUGGAAACACUAUUUUAAACAUCCAGGUUUGUAUUACAAACCUUCCUCUGAUCUGAGCUUUCGGUUGACAUUUUCCCUUGAGUCAUGACAGAGAGAAUUAUCAGGAGUUCUGAUUUCGUCACAUAAAGGCUGUGGUUUUGUUAGCUCUGUGCUCAGUUGAGUAUCUUGCAGUACAGAUUGGACUAUUCCACAUAAACACAAGCUUAACAAAAUGUUUCUUUAUACCUAGUUUUCCUGUCAUUGCUUUCCAUCUAACAUGAUUAGCUGUUUUUGCUGAAUAAUGCCUUAAUGACAGAGCCAAUGCAUUUUUAAUACAUGCACUCUUUGUCAUAGUCAAAAUUAACAUUUUGAUUAUUGUAGAUUUCUUUCCUGUAAAAUCUUUCAGUGGAUUGUCAUGUUAUGGGUUUAAAAGAGGAUAGCUGUAAGGUCUGAUUGGAGAACUACUGGAUAUGCUCGUGAUAAUAAUUGUAAAAUACUGUUUAAACGCUCAACAGCAUGCAGGCUCUUAGAGUGAUGUUUCCCAGUGUCACGAUCUCACAAUUGCUCUCCACAGUUUUGUUAGCAAUCCUGGGUUCGCUACGUAGGGCUACCAAGGGCAGGAGCACUGGGUUCUGAAUGCCAUACCCCUGAAAGGAGGCUGCUUGUACUGUGGACCUGAGCCCAUGGAUGCUCGGAGCUCCUGGUGGCUGCUCAGCCGGAGCACAGGUUGCUCAUGUUAAAUCCAAAAUAUCUGAGGCCAGAUCCCUACCAUUCAAUGCCACAGCAAAGCCCCAGUCGAUUUCACUGUGGGAAAGGUUAGACUCCUGGUGAAAGGGAUGUUUACAACCCUACACUCCUUAUUUUUUUUAUUUUAGAAAUCCAGAAUCCCGUGUGCUAAAAAAUGAGUUUAAAGGCCCCCUGCCUCUAAUAGUCUAAUGAUAUUUUAUUAACAGCAAAAUAUAUACUGGAGGUCUGUAGAGCAACAUAAUAAGAAAUAGCUCUAUAAAUAAGGGUGUUUAAUUGUACCAGUACGCGAGUUUUCUGAGAUGACAUUUUAGAAUGAGGUUUGUGGUUGCACUGUGUGCUAACAGCUAUUUUGGUGAGUGCAUAUUUAAUUAAUUUAGAAUACUAAAUACCUGUUCUAAAAUUGUUUUUGUAAUCUGCAUCCUGGUAGAAAAUUAAAUAAAGUGCCAGCCCCAAAAUUAAUACUUGAGCUUAGCCUAUUUGUAAAGGCCGCGGUCCUCCAAAGCUGAACAUCUCUGGGUCUCUCUGUGUGCUGUAGUGGCCCUUCAGGCUGCUCACAUUUGUAAGUCUCGGCUGUGCCAGGCCCUGGAGCAGCAGCAAAGUGGGAAGCGGGGCAGCAGCCCUGCAGCCCCUGUGCUAUGCUGACUUUGGAUGGCUUUGCCCGCUCUGGGGCGGUCCCCAUGGCCAACUCCCCCAGCAGAGAGAGGCAAAGGGCCUUGGGUGCAGGUGUCUGUGCGGGUGAGAGGUGAUCUCACUGGGUCUGUGUGUAGCAGGAGGCGCUGCUCCUUGUAGCCAGACCCCAAAUUGCGUGUUGAGGGCUUCCAUUUGAUUUCACAUGCUCUUCCCACAAAUACUUAAGCCUUACAGCCCUUAUAUAUCUCUCUUUCUGGGAGGACCGUACGUACAUAUGCAUGUACCUCUGAAGGUAGGCAGCACAUAGCACCCAGAGCUCCCCUCUUACAGACUCUGAGAGGCAAACCCCCCACCUGCCUCAGCAGGGGCUGCAAAGGUUCCACGUGCCUUUUGGCUGGUGCAGGGAUUCCUCCUGCUGCAUGCAAAGUGCCCUAAAAGAAUUAUAUGCACUACUGCAUGCCGAUGCAUGUGCUUCUGCAGGUGCUUUUCGCUGGGAUGGGGUCUGCUCUUCCCAGUUUCAGGACCAUGCCUGACUUCAAAGAGUGUGUAAGAUUUCCUCCCACGGCAGGUCUUUGCCUUUUGUGUCAGGUUAGAUGGUUCCUAGUGACAGUGGAGUUUUCUUGGAGAAAUGGAUAAAAAAUAAUUCCUGUGUAUACACACAGAUAUACACACAUUUUGCAGGUAUAAGAAGUUCUCUGUCCUUUCUUGCUCUCCUUACUUCUUUUUUUUUUUUGAUAUCACACUAGAAGUAACCUGUACAACUGGAGGUUUAUGCAUUUUUUAAUAAAUAGUCACAUACACGGAAGGCUUUUUCUUUUCUUCUCUUCUUUUAAAAAACUAACUUUUUUUUAGGGGGGGGAAGGGGAAAUGGAAGAGCAUUUUAUGGCACCUCACCAUUUUUCGGUGUAAAGGUAACAUAUAUCAUAUAAAAUAUUUAAACAUAAUUUUUACCAAAUUAGUUUCUGUCUCCCCAAACCUUUAAUUAUGGAAACAUUUCUGAGACAUCCCUUGAUGCUUGUGCACUAUCUAUUGCUAUCAUUUCAUAACCAAAUUGCACAAAAAAAUCAAAGGACCUGAUUAUCAUGUACCUGCAGUUCACAGAGCUAUUUAUAAAUGUUGGCACAAUAAUAACAGUGACUCAAAAGGAAUUUAAAUGACUGGCCAAAAAUAAGACCUCUGAAAGUUAAAACCCAAGGUAGAGCUCAAGAGGUAAUGGAAAGAGCCUGACAUGGAAGGGCAGAGAUGUUCCAAGGGAAGGCAAGGGCCCGGAGGUGAUGGCUGGGAGUGCUGCAGAGCCACCCACUGCAAUGGGUGUGGGGUGGUGGUGUGGUGUAGGGUGGGUAGAUGUGCUCCAGCAAUGGGAACCAUGGCCACAGAGUUAUACAAGUGUUGUAGUAUGGUAAAACCAAAUCUAGUUAAAACAGCCGGAGGAAUAUUAGAUUAAAUGUCCCAGAACCUGGAGGGGUUGGCUAGUGUUGGGAAAAAUAAGAGCCCUGACUAUUAAGCUAGAAUAAGCAAUGUGUCUGUGUGUGUCCGUAUAUACACAUGUACUUAUAUACAAAUACCUAGCCAAAGUUACAUAAUCUUGCUUGUACAGAAAAAUGAAAUAAGCAUGCCGCUACUGAAAUAUUUCUCCAGAAUCUCUCUCCAGACAUCUGCAGGAAUUUUGCCAUUGAUUUGUAUGGGGGUGGACUGCUACUGGUCUGCAAGAAAGCCACCAGGCAGCUUGGUGUGUGCACUAAAACCGAGGGGCCGUGCAGGGGGACUGUUUAGUGUAGCUGUGCAGGAACAGCCGCUGUCAGGGAACCUGAAGCUGCUGUAGCACCGGAGACAAUAGAAACUAACAGCACAGUUAGCAGCCAGGAACACCCUUGGUUGGGCGUCGGAAAAUGAGCUUGGUCAAGGCAUUGCAGGUGGAGAGCUAGGGUUGGAGACUUUUUGGCUUCUGCGUUGUUGUUCUGUGGGUUUGCUGUGGGUCUGAUCGUUCUCCAGAACUUGCUACUGUUAGGAAGAAAGUUGUAGGCCCAGAAGGCAAACGUAAACUUCCCAGGUUGGUCUCAUGGAGUAUUUCAGAGACUGGUCGGAUUUGACCUUUUAUCUGCUUUCUCAUUAGUUGUCAUUACAGUACAGCUCUGUAUUAGUUCAUCUGAAUUUUAUAUAAUGUACACUUGUUUUACUUUAUUAUAUGUUAGGCAUGAAAUGUUGGAACAAUACAGCUGAAUUAUCUUCAAUAUUAAAAACUGCUGAUUCAUAACCUUGUUUGGAAUAUUAGCUGAUCUUUUGCGAAGACAGGACAAUAUCACUAAGUUUAAUAAUGUUCACAGGGCUGAUCUGUCUUUUACAUCACUCAAAAUCAAUGAUAAAGUGAAUGCUGUGGGACUGAUCUUCUCUAAUUGGAGAUCGAGGGACAUUCUGAACUAGAACUAUGCAGCACCUUAUUGUGCAGCCUGUUACCAAAAAAUAAAUCUCACUGCAUCUUACAGAGGUGUUUACAUAAAUAAAGUAGAUUUCAUGUAACUUCUUUCAGAUUAUCUGAUAGUUAUAUCUUUAUAAGUAUUCACAUUCUCCUAACAAGUUGAUAGAAAAUUCAAAGAUGCACCACAGUUGCAAUUGCAUUCCAUAGGAUUUAUUUUAUUUUUUGAAUUAGGUGGGAAAUAGUAAGAGCAGGAAGGCUCGGUGCACUGUUAUAUCAGUCCACCUGGGAUCUAAACUUUCAACAAUUACUCUCUAAGAGAGUAUUUAUUUCUUUAUUCCAAUAGUUAUUUUUCUGAAUAUCCUGAGCUGUAGAGAAGAGCAGAGGAAACUUUCUCAACCCUCAGUUUAGGAAGCAAUGAUUUUUCCAUUUUUACGAAAGAGUUGUGCUUUCCUGCAUGUUUCCCAUGGAUCUGAAUUACAUACAGGAUGGUAAAAUGAUUACUUUUGAGGUUCCAGUGUACUCUUUUUCUUUUUGACUGUGUAUAUCACACGGCCCUUUGUUGUGCUAUGACAUUAUGAUGCUGUUAUACAUGUGGUGACAAAAAUGCAGCCGUUUUCAGCCAUUCACGGAGUCUCCAGUGAAACAGGACCUGUGAGUCCUGCUCUCAGAAGCCACAGACAAAACCACUUUCCCUUUCCUGUCUGUAUUCAGAUGCUUGUCUUUUGUGUGUAUGUAAAUAUAUUCUUUCUAGUGCGGGAGGUAGGGCUUGUGCAGACCCUUCAUUAGAGCUGAAAAUAGUGAUGUUUAAUUUUCAUUUGUGGGAGCUGCAGUGAGUCAGUGCUGUUUGCUCAGCUCCAGUUCCUUGUUACAAAGGGAGGAAAACUCCAGCAAUGGGAAGGAGCCCGAAUGGGUUGAUGCAAAAUCUGAGUAAUGAGAGACAAACAAAGCCCUGCACAAAAUACCUAGCAGGAGUUUUUACGUUUUGACUCUUAGCAAACGCUGCUAUAUUUGGAGUAUUUCACGUUCACUGAAUGUAAAACUUAAAUAUGUGCCCUGUAGAGUGACUGGGAAUAAUAGCUCUGCUUUCUCUAAUAAAAUCUCUUUUCUGCGAUUAGCUCUGGAGCUAGCAGUAAGGUCGGUAUUUCAUUUCAUAGAAGUCAGCUCAUGCUGACAAGGGUUUGGCCUUCUUAGUGAUGGGCCGUUUGCUGCUCAGAAGUGUGAGGAACAGCUUUCCGAAAUAUCGAUAACUUGCCUUUGCUAGAGCUCGCCAUCAAAUUGAACUCACAGUAUUGAUGCGCUGCAGCCACAGGAUGGGAGAAGGCUUGGGCCUGGCGCCAUCCUCCGAGCUUUGCUUUUCCAGCUCUGCCAUUAGUGUAAAUCAGUGGCUUAUAAUGAAGUCAAAUGAGAUUUGUGCCCAAAUUACAACCUGGUCUUGGGAUAUGAAAAAGAAUUAAAAAAUUAGGCUGAAAAUGUUAAUGUUCUGCUUUAGCUUUGUUUCAGUUUGUUGUAUGUAAAUGUGCUUAUAUGCACAUGCACACACGUACGGAGCUGCAUUUUAUUCCUGUGGACAUUUCCCUUGGCCACUUGGCUGCAGUGGUGCCUGGCAGUUAACGAGGACCUAAGAGUGCAAAAUCUCCUUCCUGGUGAGCUUUGAUUGACAUGUGCAGAGAUUUCAGAUAAAGGCUCUGGGAUCCUGCUUCUCAGCCAUAAAAGGAAAGCAAGCAAGCUUCAUCCCCAGCUCAACCGUCUGCACAAUGUACAUCAAUAACGAGACGGCAUCUAUUUAUAUAUUACUUGGAGGAAAUAACUGGGUUUGCACAUGGCCUGGGGAGGCACCGCAGCUCCACCAGCUUCCACGGGGCUUUUGUUGGCAGCCAGGUUGAUGGCUCGGGUAUGUGGGACAGGAGACAUGGCUGAGGCUUGCUGUGCUGUGAGAAGGGGCAUGGGGAGCAUGGACAGGGUCCAGCAAUGCCCCUCUGCUGACUGCUGGCCCAGCCUCUCCCACAGAGGGGAAGGCCUGCCAUGUUGUAGGAGGAAAGGGAGAGUUCAAGAGAAAAAGUGAUAAGGUGCAGCCAGCUUAAAACCUGCUGUUGUCUUUUGGCUGUGUUGUUGUGGAAGGUUUUCGACGGUCAUGCUUUUCUCACCCAGAAAAGUGGAUCAUUGACUAAGACCCAUCCCACAUCAGGCUACCAUGGCACAGGGCAGAGGUACAGGGCUGAGCUGAGAUACUAACACAGACUCUUGGGGCAGGGGGCCACUGUCCCCAAGCUUAGCAGUGGUAAAGACACGCAAAAGCCCCCAAUGGAUCUCAACCUAAAAAGAGAUUUUGCUGUGUCCUUUCUCACUCCUCUCCUCACUGGCUCUUGUGUGCUUUGCCCAUAUGCUCUGAAGCUAUUUUGCUUUCAGUUUUAUGUCUGCUUUAUGUAAAUGAGAAGCAUGAAGCUUCUCUGCUUUCUGCAUUAUAAAUGGGGUGGAGGCUGACUGACUCCCUCCGGAGGCCUGCAGGUUGCACAGGGUGCAGGCACUUGGGCCAGGGGCUGCCUGAGGGCAUGGCAGUGGUGUGUGGAAGGGGCAACCCCAACCCCAUGGACCCCACACACACAGCUUGCAGGCCAAAGCAUCCCUAUGCUGCAGGAGUCCAUCAGCCCCUCUGGGACCAUUCUAAGAGGCAUAUGUUUGCUCAGUGUAUUCACUUCACCCUGUACAAGCUGGCUGCUCUCAGGUGCUGGUUUCCAAAUCCCUCCUGCAGGACCAGGGUAAAUCCAGGCUGUCUCUCUGGAAGCACUGAUAUGUUUUGUUUCAUUUGUUCCUUUUGUAAGUCAAAACUGGUGUUGGUUUUUAGUACUUUACUUUUUGGCUUACUGCCUUCUUUGUCUGUGCUUUCCCAGUCCCACACAGAUUUUCACACCACCAAAUUUUGUCCUGGAGUUUUUGUUUCCCAGUGGCUGAGUGCUGUCCCACACUCAGGACAAUGACGCAGGGCUCUGGCUGUGGCCACAGCCUGAGAAAUGCCAGAGGCACAGCAAGUUGCUUGGGAGAGGCUUAGGGUGAGAGGGUGAAGAAUACUCUAUAAGACAGAAAAAGAGCCUGACCACGGCCUGCUGUGGAAGGUUUGGGUCAGAGACAAAGUGGUGGUGGGCUCUGAGGUAUCACCCUUCCACCCAUGCUGCCCUGAGGCCCUUGUGGGGUGCGUGGCUCUCAGCUGAUUCUGGCAGAUCUGCGCUUUGUUAGAAUGAAUCCUAAUUGAGUUGGUGGUACUUCAGUAGAGAAAUGGCUUCAGGAGUCCCAGCCUAGGACCUGCAGGGCAUAGAUGGCAUCGUCCCUGCUGGGGCUCUGCCCUGCACUUGUUUGAGCUCAGGCUCUCUUUCACUGAGUUCAUAGAAUAUGUGACUUUUUUUUUCCAAAGGCAUUCAUUAACAGAGAUAAAUUACCUAAGGUUUGAAUACUCUGAUUCAGCGAUACACUGUGAGGAUUAGGUUUAUUUUGUCUGGUCAAAUGUUUGCUGAAAAGUGAUAAAAAAUGUCUCCGCCUUUCUAGAGCUGCUUAUUUGAUUUCAAAAGGAAGGUAUGACCUUUCAUUUCCUGCUGUGAUUUUCAUUAAACCUCUGCGUAUUUUAUUUGUCAGACCACAUAUAAAUUUGCUACCACUAGUGUUUCUAUAUAAAGUACUUAUAGGAUUGGUAAGCAGUCUAUAAGUCAAACCACAGUUUCUUGAAAUUCAUUUUAAUCCAUAAAAUUGCUAAUUAAAGCUACUUCUCAGUACCCAAAAAUUAAGUUAACAGUAAUUAAUGUAGCCAGCCUGGAACCUUAGGAAGCUCCUGCCAGCAAGUGUCUUUUGGUGCACACAAGAGAAUGCAGUUUGAUUGUUGGCACCAACAAACAGGUUGGGAAUUGUAAACACGGUAAUUAGCAGUAAGUUUCUGGAUCUCAACUUUCCAGACUGGCGGUCUGAUUCUUGGAGUAGCUGCCGCAUGGGAGGAGGGAAAAACAAAGUAAGGGAAUUAGAGCAACCUUGCAUUGCUCCACCAACAUAUGCCACUGGACCAGUGUUUUUCUUGGCAAAGAUUUCUGACAAGCAGUUUAAAAGCUGUGUUUCAGCCUUACUGCAAACUGUGAACCUCACUACAGGCAUCAACCAAGCAACUGUCCCUGGCUCUUCUGAAACUCCAAAUGUUUCUCCAUGGAAAGAGACUGUCGAGUCUAAGGUUUCCCUGUUCCAUCUCCAUGGUGGGGUGCAUUGUUGAUAAGGUUAUCAACAAUAAUGAGAUUAAAAGUUAAAAUCCAGCUUUUGCACUAAUCCCAGAAUAUUCUAUUGUUGAGCUAUCAAAGAUUAAGGUUAGAGUAACCUUAUUAACCCUUGAUGUAGUGUAAGUUAAAAGGAAAUGUCAGACCUAAUUCCACCAUGAAAUUAAAUCUUCGCUUCCCUCUCAUCAUUUGAUGAUUCAAACACAGCUUAGUCCGGACAACAUGUGCUAUGAAAAUAAUAAACUCACAUGAGUUUAAGAAAUUCCGUCUGAGAGACAGAGGGAGAAAGGGACAAUAAUACAUGGGCUUAAUUUUGUUCAAAAUUAAAAAAAUAAUGUUAAUUCAACCAGCCUGUGUUCAGGAGCUAUUCAGCUAGAGCCAGCAAAACAUGGAGGGUGUAGGGAUCCAGCUGAUGCAAACCCCUGUGGUGCAACGAACACAGCUCUGUAAUCCACAGCAACUCACAUCUGGCCCAGGGCAGAGCAAUUUGUUCUGCAUUGGGCAGCAGCUGUGAUGGCCUCCUUGUCUCCUUCUCUUGCUUGCUGAGUUCUGUGUUAUUUCUGCCCAGUGCCAUGGUUGGGUACGGCAACACAAGAACUCGAACAUUUCUGCAGAGGUGCUUUGAGUACAAGGGAUGAGGUGAUGAAAACAAAAAUGUGUCAGAAAAAAAAAAACCGAAUGCUCAUCUUUCUGGCAAAGUAGAGCCAGGUGCUGGUGUAACAGGCACAGGUUUUCUUGGCUAAGCUGAUUUGCACUGCAUUAAGGAAGUGCCCUCUCACCUGUGCUGAACACGACCCCUGCUCCCUCCUGCCGAGCCCAUAAGUAGAUCUGAGAGGCUGCUCUGGGGCUGGUGUUAUUUGUGUAGGGGGGAACAUGUUGACUGGUUGAUCACGAUCUGCUUAGGUGUUGGUGGGAAGUAGACCAGGUAAAUGUGUGUUUCCUUGUGGGGAGCAGAGAAGGGAAGUAUGCCCUAAUUAAUUAAUUAAUUUUUUUUUUUGAUUGGCAGAGAAAAUACAAUGGUGAUAAAAAUGGGAUGACUCAGAACUCUUCUCUUUUUUCACCCUUACCUUGUUGAAGUGUUAUAAAAUUUAAAUAACUCUAAUGCUCACUUUGAGUCUCUAGCAGAAGGAUAAUUAAGAAUUAAGGUGCUGCCUAUAGUAGGUGAGCUCUCUAGAGGGCAGGAGCCAUUGUGAGAGAAGAGAUACCUUUGGCAAAUUCAUGCCUGCUCUGUGGCGUUUUCACUUCUGGGACAGUGCCAGCCCUGCACAGUGCUGAGGCUGAGGGGUGGGCAGCAUCUGCUUUCAAGUCCUCAGCAACCCUGGUGGUUCUGGGUUGUGGAGCUCUGGCUUGGCUUAUUCCCUUUAUCACUGAAUCAUGUUCUUUAUGUGGGCUGUCAUGGCUCUGGUUCACAUUGGCUCAGGUGUGCUUGUGGGGUCCUGAGGUACCUCCUUCUCUGCUGUUGCCCCAGGUCUCACGUGCAAGUUGAGUGGCUGGGGCUCUUCUGGUUUUUCUGCAGCUCUGCUGUGGUGUGGGAAUUGACGCUGUACCUGUAGGGCUGUUCAGAAACAUUACUGUUGCUGGUAUAAUGCUUUCUUCUAGGUAGCAUCCCUUUUUCUGGACAAUUUCCCAGUAAAAUAGUAAAUGGCAACUGCAGAGCAGUAAAAGCAGUGGCAUACUUGUUUGACUGAUGUUACAAAGCCUGCAGAGCAAAUGCAAUUAGGCUUCUCAGUGUGCAGCAGCUUCCUUUCCUCAUGUCCCCACUGUGGAGGAGCCGCCCUAGGUUCAGCUUGGCCUUAAGCUGCAGAUUCCUAUGGAGGGGCUAUGUGUUUUUGAGCCCUCCUGUGCGCCUCAGUGUCUUCUCAGGUCUCAGAGCUGCCCUUCUCAAUGGGACAAGGUCCUUGCCAGUGUCUGUGCACCCGUGACACCCAACUGUCACCAGGACACAAAGUUGUUUCUUUGGUAUGGACAGCUGAUGCACUGUGAACCCUUUUGUGGACGCUUUGCUUCAGAAAGUGGUGGGGAAAAAUAGAUGUAACAGCUCAGAUUCCUCGGGAAGAGGUAAUAGAGAACAAAAAGCUACCAAAUGCUGAGGGUUGCUGUUAGCUGCAGUGGAGCACUGAGGGUCAUUCACUUGUUGAGGCUGACUGCUAGGGAACAGAUGGGGACUCAUGCUCCUGCCCUCCUUCAGCUGCAUCAUUGGGUUUACAGAGCUAUUUUGUAUCUUGUAGACCUGCUGUGUGGAUCUAGGACUGCUGAAUGAUGCUGUGAUUGCUGGAAAUGGUGUAGUCUGGGAAGACUGGAAAAGUUUCUUCCAGCCCAGAUUGUUCUAUGAGCCUCAGAUAGAGGUAGUUGUUAUGCAGUAUCCCUGAGCUGUGUGGAAGUGACGAGAUGUGGCCCUGGCUGGAAGCAAUGAUCCUACAGCCCUCUCAGGCCUGGUCUGAAUUCUGAGUCAUUUUGUGCACAGGCAGCUGUUGUGCUGCAGGGCCCAUUCCCUGGUGCUGUGGGUGGGAAGCAGCAGAGCUAGGAGCAGGCACUGCAGUGCCAGUAUUCCUGCAGCCAGCACAGGUGUAGGGCUGCCACGCUCUGGUCUGUGGUGUGUGGGGAGUGCUGGCUGGUAUGGCUCCACAGUCUGCAAAAUAGACCUAAGUAUGGAUGACUAUGCCUGGCUAAUCUGGGAUACGGUGAGCAUGACCUGACUCUCCUUUAUAUACACAUCCUUUGAUAUUUCUGCAUGUCUCUACAGAGAAAAACAAAUCAUGUACUGAUUUUUUUUUUUUUUUUUUUUUUUUUUUUUAUUAUUAUUUUACCUACUAUUAUUUCCUAAGGACAGCUUUGGGGUAAAGUGGUAAGAAAGCUGUUUCCCUCUUUGGACAAUAACAAGCCAGAAGGCUGUCAGUGUGGCAACCUGUCCCUAUGUAACAAGGCAGAGCCUCGCUCUGUGGGCAAACAUCCCACACGCGUUGUUGGGAGCUCUGCCUGGCUGUCCUCGUGGAGGUGGGCUGCUGCUGCACAGGACACAUGAGCAGCGGUUUCUGUUUUUAAUGUGCCAGAUCAUAGCUUGCUCAUCGCUCCAGCUCCUGGGCUGAAAAACACUGUCAAAAUGCAAAUGCAGGAGCUGACUAAGAACCAGUGAGUACGCAAUCUGGAUGCUCCAAACUUGAGCGCUGUGAUUGAUAAAGGAUAUAAAAUGUGACUUUUUAUUCAAGCUGAGGCACUCUGUUGGUGUUAUGCAAUUCCAACAAGUUUGUGUUAAGAAUAACCACUGUGUUUUGCAGAAAGUGUGCGCCCAUGCGUGAGGCUGCGCCAUACACACAGCAUGGUGGCUCAGCUGUGUGGGGCUGUGAAGGCCGAGCUCCCUGACAGCAUGUGUCCAAUGGGCCAGUGCAGCAGCCAGGGGCAUCCUCUAGCCAUGCUGGUUGGGGUUCAAACUGUGAUUUCACAAUCCCAGUAUUUCCCUAUAUUUUCUUUUAAUUGUAAAAAGCAAAGAGGUGAAAAAAACCAACAAAUAAUUUUCAGUGGAAAAUGUUUAUAUUCAUAACUUAAAGUGUUCUUCCAGAAAUUUAAUAUUGCUUUUAAUGUCUGAGUGUGUGAAGUCACUGGGAAACAUGAAAAAGCAGGCUCUUAGAGAAUUUGCAGGUUGAUCCCCUCUCUCACAGACCUGCCAAUGUUUCUAUUGAUGGAUUCCCUAAUAGUGCUGGAUAAUCUACUCCAAAGCUCUGGAAAUCUGAUUAUUAUUCCUAGAGGGCAGAUCCAUAGAAAGGUAUGAGCCUAUAUUCACUAAACCAAAGUUGUUUGUCAUACGAAGUAAAUCCCUACAGUUCCCUUCUCAUACUCCCUCACUGAGAAGCUGGAGGUACCAGAUUGGCAAGUGGGUGGAGAAAGGUGGAGGGAGAUAGUCUGAUGAGCCAAGAAAUUAAUGUUUCCCUCUGUCCCAGUCCCCCAGUGUAACCCAAGCACCAUUCUGUGCCCGCAGGCGGGAUGCAAGCCUCCAACACCUGAGUAUUCCUGCCGAAUGACAUGGCACAAGAUCAGGAAAAAAACCUGUUUACUACAACAUGGUCUAGUUUUCAGAGUAAAACAGAUUGCUGUACAUUGGGUGUGAAAUUCCCUAAUGUUUAAGUAAUGAUUCUGGGAACUGUAUGACUGACAGCCUGAGCAAAGCACUGUCUGAGGUUAUGUAAGUCUCUAAAAAGAAAUCUAACCCCAAAUCCAAAUUGUGUAGCAGAUCUGAGUACUGCAAAGUCUAAGCAUUGCCAGAUUUGAAAGCCGUGCUGCUGCCUUAUAUAAAUAGUCAUGAAUACUCCCAGAAGCAGCAUCCCAAUGAGCUCUUUUGCUCUCUGAGUGGAUCAGCAUGAUGCAGUGGAGCUGCCCCUGUGGGCUGGUGAUAGCCUGACCCAUUGGGUGUAACUGGAGCUGUGGCUCUCAGGGACAUCUCAGGCAGGGAAAUGGAGCUGCUUCCAGCUCGGGUGCUCAUGAAGAGGGAAAAGAGAUGCCUUCUCCCUGCGCUUCCUUGUGCAGAAGCAAUUACAGCACAUGUUUAUGAAUUCCAUCCGGAGGCUGCAGCCCUUGCUAUGAAUCUCAAAAUGUUUUAGAUUUAUUAGCGUCGCGCUGCUUCUGACACAAAGGAUGUGAGGGACAAAGAGCAGCAGCUCCUGUGCUUAAAGGAAGCACAUAAAACCCUGCCAGCACCUUCAUCAUUCUAUGCGUCUGAAUGCUGUUAGCUGGGCGCCAUUGUACCUGCAAAUGCACUGCUGGCGUUAACUCUGAGAUGUGCAGUACUGCCUGGGCAAAGGCGUGGUGGUGGGGGGUGGUUAGAGUGCAGCUUGGGCUCCUGUGGCAGCUCCUGUUGGCUCUUAUUGCCUUGUCCCAGGUGUGACUUAAGGCAGAAAAUUGAACUGAUGGCAUUUAGAUUCUUAGGAAGACGUUCUCCAGUAAAUAUUCUGUAUAUAUACCUAUAUAUUCAGUGUUUGAAUAAAUAUGUAAAGAGAAGGGACGGAGUACGGUCUGUGUGAUAGAGCUAACCAAAUAAUUCUUGGGAUUAAUUUUGCAGAAUUGUGCAAGAAACAUUUCUUAUGUCCCAUAGUCUUCUCAAACUGGCUGAAAUGCACAGGGGUUGUACCUCUGAAUUUUGAUCUGAAGUAAAUUAAAAAUUGCCUUUUUCUGUGGGGGAGAAGGGAGGAGCAGGUCUGUGAAAUUUUUCAAGCACUACUUGCCAUAUCACUGUUACUGUGGCCUGUCCUGGGCUAGGUGAGGAAGUGGUGCAAAUUCCCAGCACUGCCCACCUUGCCUCUAGAGGAAGGAGCAGAAGAGAAGAAUAGGAUGGGUGAGCAGGAGAAAGCGGUAGGGAAGAAAGUGAUUAGAAAUAGCAGAGGAAUGGAAGAGAUAGGAGAAAGCAGAAAAGAAAGAAAUAGAGAUAAGGAAAUGAAAAUGAGAGAGGGGGAAAAAAGAAAAAUGAAAUAAUGGAUAAACAGGACAGAGCUCAAUAGUUCUCAGUUUUCCCACUCCUCAGGUGGGAGCACAGUGUGAUUCGGAGCCCUUGGUGCUAUUGCAGGAGAUUUUCUCCUUUUAGCUCAGGGUGUGUGAGGAGCAGACACCAGGUCCUGGUUGAAUCUCUGCAGAUCUAUCACAAAACCAUCACAAAAGAUGAAGUAAUGUCCUGUCUGGCCACACGCUGAGCUGUAGGUCUUUUUGUUGGUGCUUUUUUUUUUUUUUUUCCCUCCAUUUAAAAAAGAGGAGCUAUCUGAUGUGUUUUGUUACUGUCAGAAAGAAAAAAGUUACUGUAAUUUAGAGGAGCUGAGGGUUUAAAAUUAAAUAUACGCUCAGUGCAUCCAAAGAUUUGGUGAUAACCAGGUUACUGAAAUCAGUGCAUUUUUAUCAAAGACAAAAGGUUUUGGUGUUUUUUUUUUUUUUUUUUUUUUGAGAUGUUUGUAGAAUAUAUCAGUUCUUAUUGUGCCCUCUUAUAAUUACAGAUGGGAAUGAUGAAAACAAGUUCCCAUGCAAUUACUUGCUCUUGCUUUAAAAAAAGUCAAAGACUAAAUCAAUUUCAGUAAGGAGUAAACUGAUAGUAACCUUGUGAAAGAGCAGUCCAAAGAGUUCCACCCUACCGCUGUAAAUGAAAGCAAACCUCAGCCAUGAAUAAGUGUCCAUACAAAGAUUUAAGAUGAGAUGAUGUGAAAAUGUUUCACUCAGCAUUUCGGCCUGUUGGGAGUGAGCUCUGGAUCUGGGCUGGAUGACAGUUAAUAGCACAUCUUCUGUGUGCCUUGGGCUUGUCUUUCGGAGAUGCUGUCCUUGGAUCAUCUGAAACAUCAGCUGCUCUCACAGAGGAGAGCUCUGAUAAAUGCUCUGAUCCCAUUUCCGCAUCACUUUCCAACUCAUCAAAGCGAUUUAAAAAUCAAUAUGUUAUAUUUAACAGGGAGGCCGUGCAUUUCUCACUGGGCAGGAAUAACGCGUCAAGUCUGCUAAGAGAGAGUUAAUGUUCCAGGUGCAGCCUUUGGUUGCACAGACCACAGAAUGUAAAGAAUAUUCCAGGAAAGCCGUAAAGACGGAUGAUACAGUGAUGGCUUCUGCAAUGUUAACAAUACAGCUGUGCUUAUGAGCUACUGCGUGUGCUGGUGCACACUGUCUGGACCUGAGCAUUACUGUGUGGGUGACAGGAGAUCUACAGGCAUCAGAAGGGCCCGUGCUGAGCCCAACCAGCUCUUGCCAUUCUAACACGUAGUGAGACCAGGACACAGCCUGGUGUAGCAGUAACAACCUAAUGUAGUUAAUGUCUGUGAAGGUGCCCAGAUCAGGGAAGGUAGGGCUGCUGACAAUGCUGCCAGACACCACAGUGGUCUGUAUGGUGUAGGGCUGCUGCUCUGUACAGGGCUGCAGGACAAAGCCUCUGAAUGAGCUUGAGUCAUUCCUUCAUCAGUUAGAGUGGCACCACUGCACUUUCUUCCUACCAAGCUGCAGGAAGACAAAGAGCAUCUUUAGCCACAAUAGGUUAACACAGAUUGCUUUAAAGUCUGGCAUGGUAGGAAGCUUAGGGAGCCUGGGUGAGGGGUGAAGGAGUUGGGCAGAAAGAGGUGGAAAUGAAGAGGAGGAAAAGCCCCAUCAGCUGCAGGUGGAAGAGGAAUGAUUCCUCUGUUUUUAUCUGUUGGCUGAAGCAUCACAUUUGCAAAUAGAAGACACAAAUGUUCACAAUGCACUUAGGAGAUCAUUCUUCCUAGAUUUCUUUACUUGUUUAUAGAACCACCUGCCCCAGGCAUGGUGGGUUCAUGUCUCCAGGUGAAUAGGCAACAAUUGUUAUUCAGGUUCCUCCUUACUGCAUGGUCUGCUGGAGGGUUGCCUAUGGCCUCCAUCUUCCAAAGGUUUUAGUAUGUCCAAAAUACCUAGGACUCUAGUAUCUCACACCUCCCCAUGUGUAAUUUUUUUCUUAGAGCAUGAAAUACAAGAGCUGCUCUGAAAGUAACGCCUCCAAUUUUAUGAUGUCAGCCCACAACAGCAGAUGCUGGUGUUAUGGUAGUAGAAGUUGAACCUUCCCACUGAUAUUCCAUACAUUUUUGUUGUCAUGUGACAGAUGGCAGCAGGGGGGCAGUCUGACAGAAUGGUGUCUGACAGAAGCGUGUGUGGAGCAAAGGUGUCGUUGAAUUCCUCUGUGCAGAAAAUAGGGCACCCAUUGACAUUCAUCAACACUUGCUAAAUGGUUAUGAAGACCAAACAGUGAAUGUGAGCACAGUGUGGCAGUGGGCUCUGCAUUUUAGCAGUGGCAACAGUGGCAGUGGUUUACCUCUACUGUUGCAGGUUUUUAUGAGCAUGGCAUGCAGGCACUUAUUUAUCACUGGCAAAAAUGUACAGCUAAUGGUGGUAACUGUGCUGAGAAAUAGUAUUUCGUAGUUGAGAAUUUGCUCUAUAAAAUAGUGUUACUGUGCUUUUUGGAGUAGUUGUGCUUUCCAUGGAAAUAGCAGGAGUCACUUUUGGUGUAACCUACAUGGUUUGGCUGUAUGUAUAGGAUUUCAGUAGCUUAGAUUACUUUCAUAUAUUUAUAGUAAAAAUAACAGCUACUUAAAAACUGAUUAUCAAUCAUGGAAAUACAGUAGGUGUUUUUAAUCUUCAUAAACAUAACUACAAAUCAUUAAGUAAUACGAAGUAUUUUAUUGAAAGGCACUUCAUGAAAAAAUUGAAUACAUUUUAUCCAAUUUGAUAUGAAGUUUCACAGAAAAACAUGGUGGGCCUCAGCUCUUGUAUCUUGAUAAUGAUAUCUGCAUUGAUGUUAUUGAGACAAAAUUAGAUUCUUUCCAAACAUGUAAGAUUCUAAAGUAGGGAUUUGGAGAGCUUUAAAAAUCUGAUUUUGUUGGUAAACUAUCUGCAGAUGUUGUGAUCUGUUUGCACAUACACAUUCACAAAUACAUACAAUGCGUUCUAUAUUUUACUGAAAAUUUAGGACUACUGUCACGUAUGCCAUACACGUAUAUUUGAUGCAUGGCUGAGCAUGCACGUAAAGUACAUUUAUGUAACUAUAUGUGUUUGUACAUACGCACAUUGCCUUGUGCUAUGCAACCCAAAAGCUGUGUUGGGCUAUGCAAUGUAUGGUGUUGCAUUAAAUGUGGAGCUUGGUGCCUGUCCCAGCCUCCCUGGCUGACCCAUUCAUCGUGUGGCUCUGGCAGCCACUGGAGAUGCAGACCUGCAGCAGGAGCUUCCUUUUUCUCUUCUCUUCUUGUGACUGUGGGCUACUCUGUGUGCUCCAGAGUAGUGCUGUGCCAGAUGUGAUCACCAUGGGCUUGUGAGGCUGAUGGGAGGUAAUGGAGAGCUGCCCUCAGCAGUAGGUUUGUGCAUUUCAUCAGUGUGGGACUGAGUGGGGAACUGCUUCCCCCUGGAACAAAGGCAGCCACUGGGGAACGAUGUGCUCCUGGGACUGACUGGGCGGCCUUUGCCAUUAACCUGCUCCUCUUAGAUGGGCUCAAGAGCUGAACAGAUUUGUUGAGUAAAUGCCAUGCCUUCAAAAGGCAGCAACGAAACCACCGGAAUGAUGUCUUGGAAAAGCAAAAUAUUUUUGUUUGCUGGCAAGUGUUUAAUUCAUGUGCAGCCAUGCUUACCUCUUUGGAUGUCAAAGAAGAGGCUUCGCUAGUGCAGCGCUGCCCGCUUACCCCGAUGACAAAUGCCUCAGCGACAGAAGUCACCUUCUGCGCUCAGUCGAGCUCGACCAGAGCCGUCCCAAUGGCCGUGCUGCUGGGACUCCGGGGACGGCUGCAGAUGCAGAGCUGUGGUGCUGUAUUUCAAGUGAUGAUAAAAACUUGCCGGGUAAAUCGGUGGAGAGUGGCUUGCUGGGAGCACGUCAGCCGGUCUAUCAUUGUGCAAAGGCAGCAGAUGCAGUCAGCGCUCAGAUGAAAUGGUUCAUCACCCGCUGAUGCCUCCCGAGGGAUGGAGCCAGGGAACAAAGAGAUGCUGGGACCUCCUUGGGCGGGAGCAAUACUGUGGGAAGCAGUGGGGAAGGACAAUGGGGAGAGUAAGGAAGGAAGCAUGGACCAAGCAGAGGAGCCUAUUUUGCUCCAUGGCAGACCCACAGCUGCCCUCAGGGCUGGGGGAAGAGCCCUUGGCAAUGCCACAUUCCAGGAGCGAGCUGGCUUUUCAAGAAAAGGAAGGAUCAGGGUGGCAACCAGCAGGGACAUGGGAUACACACAGGGUUCUCACUGCUACACUGCUACACGGCUACACUGAAGCUGGCCACUGGCAAAGCAAGUGCUGGUGGAGUGCUAGAUUAUUGUAGCCCAUGUGCAACUGGCUCUGUGACCAGGGAGUGCUGUGUGAGGCACAGAUAUGCUGCAGCUCCAGGACAAGCAGGCAGAUGCUCCUCAGGGUAUGCCGCAAGGAAAGACACCGCGAGGCCAGGGCAGAACCUGGCCUGGCCCUGGGCAAGCUCUCAGUUGGCUCAGGUUGGCCAGGCCAAUGUUUCCCUGUGCUCCUCCCCUCUGGGCACCUGUGGUGCUGUGCUCGUUUGCCCCAGCCAGGUGUUGGCAUCAAGUGAAUCCAGCCCAUGCGCUGCUGCAAAGGAGCAAAGAGUUUCGGAAAGCAACUGCAAAAUGCAUAUGUAACAAACAGAGAUGCUGGUAACAAAUUCUAUUUUGUGAUGUUUUUCUGCAGCUAGAACUUGAGGAUUUAAAAAUAAUAAUAAUAAAAAUAAUAAUAAUAAUAAUAAUAAAAAAAAAAACAACAAACCACACAGAGAUGUGAAAUAAAGCAGCUUGUGUCUAAAGGAGUUAAAGUGCCUGCAUUAACACCUGCCACUCCUUGAUUCUCCACCUGCUGCUUUUCUAGUUUUCCCCUCUGCCCCUGCACAGAGCUGCAGCUGCUUGGAUGCUCCCUGAGCAGAGCAGAAGCUCUGGGCAGUGAGGGCAGCCCUCUGCCUGCAGGGCUGUGUGCUGAGCCCUGGGCAGCUUGCCGUAGCUCUUUGUAGUCAUGGUGCCCUUGCUACCCUGUGACUUGCAGUACUUGUUUUAUUAUUUACACUAACUCAUGUUCUAGACGUCCUCAGGGGAUUUCACCCAGGUAAGCACUGAGCUAGUUCACCUCCUGUGAAUCCAUAAAUGCAGACACCUCGGAUGUAGUUUUUCUGCUGCUGCAGUCUCUGUAUUAUUCACUUUUGCAAGGUCCUUUUUAAGGAAGCUAAUAAACCUGUCAGGACAAGCCCAUUGAAUCUCAUCAGGAUGCUUCUUUCACUCCCGAGGUCCCUUUCAUAACCAGCCCGCAUGCUGGCACUAUUCGUUAGGCGUACUCAGUCAGCUUUGUUCUUUAGCAUUAUUGUGUGGUGUAUGUCUUUUUUUGUAGUACCUGAAGCUUAUAAGACAACUAUCGGUUUGCCUCCCAAUGGGGGAGAAGGCAUCUGUAAUGUGUUUCAUGUCUCACAUCUCUGAAAAGGAGUGGAGAACACAAGCAUAGUAUCUUGUGGGUUUUCUGUCUUAGAGAAUUAGGAUGUCUUUGCAUUACUAGCAGGAAAAUACUGAGCAGUGCUUGAUCAGUAAGAGGCAUUGCCAGAGGUCUGCUAUAGUCUGCACCAGCCAGCGGUAAGUGUUGCUAUAGGCUAUGGAGCUAGGAAUACAAAAUGUCAAGCGACAGUAAUAAUUCAUGCAUCCUGGGAUGUAUAAAACCAACAGUAUGUCAAUAGCUGUGGCAUGCUCUGCAGAAAAUAUGCAGGGUUUAGAUGUCGCAAAAGCCUGUGUUUUCCUUUAAAUCACACUUUCCUUAGUGAAAUAUAGAAUUUUCCUAUUUGUUAAAAGCAUUUAUUUUCAGCUUCAUGUCAGUAAUUUUCUAUUAAGAUUCUAAGAGAUACACAGUUUGAAAGGGGCCUUGAGAUCCAGAGCCAAAUACAUGUAUUUAUUGAAGGAAAGCACAUAAAAGACUUCUAAAGCAGGGUGCAAUAGUAUUUGAGAUUCAUGGACCAUUUCAGCAUUCAUAAAAGCAUAUAUGGUUCUCAUGUUGGCUUUGCUAGGGACUGAACUGUGCAGCUGGGUUACCCAGGAGGUAUCCGGCGUUCCCUUAAAGGGAAGAUCAUUGCGACCAUUUGUAAUUUACUUGGAAAGUGAAAUAUCUUGUGAAAUGAGUGAGAGCUUCUCCAGUAUCCACCCUCCUAAAAUACUUCAAGAUAAUUAAUAUUGCUCAUCUCUUGUGAAAAGACCCUGAGGAGGGUAAAUGAUUGCUGUAGGGAGGCACAGCGGGCAUCAGAAUACUGUCUGCCUGAUGCUGGCCUCCUCUGUGCUGCUGCUGCCUAUGAACCAAGAAGUGACGAGUGCUGUUUUACCUGCUAAGGCUCCCACAAAAAUUCUUCAGAUGAAACUUUAAUGAGAAAAGGGAAAAAAAAAUUGUUCCAGCAGACCCAUUCUUCUCUGUGCUCUUGUGCACCUCAGCUGUGUGUUGCCAGGCCUCUAUUUCUCUAAAUCUGCCUGGAAUUAAAUAGGGGAAGCAGAGCAGUUGCUUGUUGUUCACGCUGAUAUGAAUAUGGGCCUUAACAUACAGGUAAUACUUCUGAAAGAAUGUAAAAUAUUAACUAUAAAAAAAAAAAGAGGAAAGACAUCACAAAGAAUCCUGCCAUGCAUUAUUUAAGCCUUCCCCUGUGAGGCUGAGGGCUCCGAUGCUCUUCCAGCAGCAGCAUUCCCUCUGCUGCAGGGCUGUGGGCCCCAGCUCCCACUUGGCUGUUUCGGGCCCUUUUUGGAAGCUGUUGAUUCAGACAAUAAUUAAACAUUUUAAAUAUCAUCUCUAUUCUUUGAAGACUUUAAAGUGAUUUGAUGGCAGUGGGCUGUGUCUACACAAACAGGCACUAAUAGAUAUUUCAGCACAUCUUGCUGAAGCAGAUGUUAAAUACAAACAAAAAAUUAAGCCUGCUGACUCCCUGAGAUGUAUGAAAGGGAUGUCUUUGUUGUGAGCAGAGUGACUUGGCUCGUUCUGCUUCUUCGGCUUGGUUCAGGGAGGAUGUGUUUUGCAGUCCUCCCAUGAUACCUGGCAAAUUUAAAGCUGUCACUGUUGAUCCCUCUUCUCUUUGUGUUAAGGGAAUGUCUGUGGUGUUUAUGUUAUGGGGGAAAUGCUAUUUCUACUGAUUGUAUUUUCAUUGUCUCUCUUAUGAGGGUACUGUUUGCCAGCAGCUGUGGGGCCACUUUGAUGCUUGCUCUGAUGCCAUGUUUAUUGUGCAGCACAGUUGAGCCUACAGUUUUUCUUUCUAAUCAGAGCUGGCGUACUGGGAAAAAAAAAUAAAGCUUUUCUUUAAUUACGGUUAUCUCAGAGGUCUCCAUUUGUAAUAGUGAGUGGGUGCUGGAAACCUAUGUUUGUAUAUACCUGUGUAUGUUCUGAUUUCAUUUUAAUUCUGGUAAUGUUUUGCCUUUCUCUGCUUCUCUCUCUGACCAUGCUUGAGCAGGGUCAUGGAUCUGUUGGUG